rnacentral:rRNA from 1 species
ACUGCUAUUUGGGUGAGGAUAAGCCAUGCGAGUUGGAUGGGAUACCUAAAGUUCCCAUAGCAAACUGCUUAGUAACACAUGAUCAACUUGCCCUAUGGAGAAAACUAACCUCGGGAAACUGAGGAUAAUGUUUCAUAGUUGAAUAGGCUUGGAAAAGUUUUUCAAUGAAAGGAAUAAGAUAAAUGGUUCUUAUUUGCCAUAGGAUAGGAUCGUGGUCGAUUAUGGUAGUUGGUGAGAUAACGGCUCACCAAGCCGAUAAUCGAUAGGGGCCGUGAGAGCGGGAGCCCCAAGAUGGGUACUGAGACAGCGACCCAGGCCUUACGAGGCGCAGCAGGCGCGAGACCUCCGCAAUACACGAAAGUGUGACGGGGUUACCAAAAGUGUUCUCUUAAGAACUGUGGCAGGUGAGUAAUGUCCCCUGCUAGAAAGGAGAGGGCAAGGCUGGUGCCAGCCGCCGCGGUAAAACCAGCUCUUCAAGUGGUCGGGAUAAUUAUUGGGCUUAAAGUGUCCGUAGCCGGUUUAGUAAGUUCCUGGUAAAAUCGGGUAGCUUAACUAUCUGCAUGCUAGGAAUACUGCUAUACUAGAGGGCGGGAGAGGUCUGAGGUACUACAGGGGUAGGGGUGAAAUCUUAUAAUCCUUGUAGGACCACCAGUGGCGAAGGCGUCAGACUGGAACGCGCCUGACGGUGAGGGACGAAAGCCAGGGGAGCGAACCGGAUUAGAUACCCGGGUAGUCCUGGCCGUAAACGAUGCAUACUAGGUGAUGGUACGGCCAUGAGCCGUAUCAGUGCCGUAGGGAAACCGUUAAGUGUGCCGCCUGGGAAGUACGGUCGCAAGGCUAAAACUUAAAGGAAUUGGCGGGGGAGCACCACAAGGGGUGAAGCCUGCGGUUCAAUUGGACCCAACGCCGGGAAACUUACCAGGGGAGACAGCAGAAUGAGGGUCAGGUUGACGACCUUACCUGAUGAGCUGAGAGGAGGUGCAUGGCCGUCGCCAGUUCGUGCUGUGAGGUAUCCUGUUAAGUCAGGUAACGAACGAGAUCCGCACCUUUAUUUGCCAACAAGAAGUUACGACUUCGUUGGGAACACUAAAGGGACCGCCGUCGAUAAGACGGAGGAAGGAGCGGGCAAAGGCAGGUCAGUAUGCCCCGAAACCCCUGGGCUACACGCGGGCUGCAAUGGUAUGAACAAUGGGCUGUAACUCCGAAAGGAGAAACCAAUCCCGAAAUCAUAUCACAGUGGGGAUUGUUGGCUGUAACCCGCCGACAUGAACGUGGAAUCCCUAGUAAUCGUGUGUCAUCAUCGCACGGUGAAUACGUCUCUGCUCCUUGCACACACCGCCCGUCGCUCCAUCCGAGUGUACUAAAAAUGAGGUUUGGUCAGACUGGUCAUAUCGAGUUUCUAGUAUGCGAGGAGGGAGAAGUCGUAACAAGGUA